CAGAGGGUGCGAGCGUUAAUCGGAAUUACUGGGCGUAAAGGGCGCGUAGGCGGUUGUGUGAGUGUGGUGUGAAAGCCCCGGGCUUAACCUGGGAAGUGCAUCGCAAACGACAUAACUGGAGUAGAUGAGAGGGUGGCGGAAUUUCCGGUGUAGCGGUGAAAUGCGUAGAGAUCGGAAGGAACGUCAAUGGCGAAGGCAGCCACCUGGCAUCAUACUGACGCUGAGGCGCGAAAGCGUGGGGAGCGAACAGGAUUAGAUACCCUGGUAGUCCACGCCGUAAACGAUGAGUACUAAAGGUUGGUAGGGGAACCUAUCAGUCUUGAAGCUAACGCGAUAAGUACUCCGCCUGGGAAGUACGGCCGCAAGGUUG
rnacentral:rRNA from 1 species